AACGCUAGCUACAGGCUUAACACAUGCAAGUCGAGGGGCAUCACGGGAGUAGCAAUACAACUGGUGGCGACCGGCGCACGGGUGAGUAACGCGUAUGCAACCUACCUAUCAGAGGGGAAUAACCCGGCGAAAGUCGGACUAAUACCGCAUAAAACAGGGGCACCGCAUGGUGAUAUUUGUUAAAGAAAUUCGCUGAUAGAUGGGCAUGCGUUCCAUUAGGUAGUUGGUGAGGUAACGGCUCACCAAGCCGACGAUGGAUAGGGGAACUGAGAGGUUGGUCCCCCACACUGGUACUGAGACACGGACCAGACUCCUACGGGAGGCAGCAGUGAGGAAUAUUGGUCAAUGGGCGAGAGCCUGAACCAGCCAAGUCGCGUGAAGGAAGAAGGAUCUAUGGUUCGUAAACUUCUUUUGCAGGGGAAUAAAGUGCAGGACGUGUCCUGUUUUGUAUGUACCCUGAGAAUAAGGAUCGGCUAACUCCGUGCCAGCAGCCGCGGUAAUACGGAGGAUCCGAGCGUUAUCCGGAUUUAUUGGGUUAAAGGGUGCGUAGGUGGUUUGAUAAGUCAGCGGUGAAAGUUUGCAGCUUAACUGUAAAAAUGCCGUUGAAACUGUCGGACUUGAGUGUAAAUGAGGUAGGCGGAAUGCGUGGUGUAGCGGUGAAAUGCUUAGAUAUCACGAAGAACUCCGAUUG
rnacentral:rRNA from 1 species